rnacentral:rRNA from 1 species
UACGUAGGGGGCAAGCGUUGUCCGGAAUCAUUGGGCGUAAAGCGCGUGUAGGCGGUUCGAUAAGUCUGCUGUGAAAGUCCAGGGCUCAACCCUGGAAAGCCGGUGGAUACUGUCGGACUAGAGUGCGGAAGAGGCGAGUGGAAUUCCCGGUGUAGCGGUGAAAUGCGCAGAUAUCAGGAGGAACACCAAUUGCGAAGGCAGCUCGCUGGGACGUUACUGACGCUGAGACGCGAAAGCGUGGGGAGCAAACAGG